rnacentral:pre_miRNA from 1 species
AGUGGGAUAGCUGGGUCAAAUGGUGGUUCCAUUCCAAGUUUUCUGAGGAAUCUCCAUAUUGCUUUCCAGAGUGAUUGCACCAAUAUGCAGUCCCACCAGCAAU